UACAGAGGCCACGAGCGUUAGGCGGAAUCACUGGGCUUAAAGCGUGUGUAGGUGGAUGGGUAAGUACCUUGUGAAAUCCCACGGCUCAACCGUGGAACUGCUUGGUAUACUGCCUGUCUUGAGGCACUCAGGGGCGAGCGGAACAAAUGGUGGAGCGGUGAAAUGCGCAGAUAUCAGGAGGAACACCGGUGGCGAAGGCGGGUCUCUGGGCCGAUACUGACGCUGAGGAGCGAAAGCGUGGGGAGCGAACAGG
rnacentral:rRNA from 1 species